rnacentral:rRNA from 1 species
UACGUAGGGUGCAAGCGUUAUCCGGAUUCACUGGGGUUAAAGGGUGCGUAGGUGGGCAAGUAAGUCAGUGGUGAAAUCUCCGGGCUUAACCCGGAAACUGCCAUUGAUACUAUUUGUCUUGAAUACUGUGGAGGUCAGCGGAAUAUGUCAUGUAGCGGUGAAAUGCUUAGAUAUGACAUAGAACACCAAUUGCGAAGGCAGCUGGCUACACAAAUAUUGACACUGAGGCACGAAAGCGUGGGGAUCAAACAGG